rnacentral:snRNA from 1 species
AUACUACAAAAAUAGAAAGUGAUCACAGAGGUGUUUUUCCCAGGGCAUGGUGUUUCCCUUGCACUUGGGCUGUGCUAUGAUUCCCUAAAUGUGGGAUAGCCAACUGCACAGCUGUGGUAGUGGGGGCUGCAUUUCUGCUCACCUCU